AGUGAACGCUGGCGGUAGGCCUAACACAUGCAAGUCGAACGGCAGCACAGUAAGAGCUUGCUCUUACGGGUGGCGAGUGGCGGACGGGUGAGGAAUACAUCGGAAUCUACUUUUUCGUGGGGGAUAACGUAGGGAAACUUACGCUAAUACCGCAUACGACCUACGGGUGAAAGCAGGGGAUCUUCGGACCUUGCGCGAUUGAAUGAGCCGAUGUCGGAUUAGCUAGUUGGCGGGGUAAAGGCCCACCAAGGCGACGAUCCGUAGCUGGUCUGAGAGGAUGAUCAGCCACACUGGAACUGAGACACGGUCCAGACUCCUACGGGAGGCAGCAGUGGGGAAUAUUAGACAAUGGGCGCAAGCCUGAUCCAGCCAUACCGCGUGGGUGAAGAAGGCCUUCGGGUUGUAAAGCCCUUUUGUUGGGAAAGAAAAGCAGCAGGUUAAUACCCCGCUGCUCUGACGGUACCCAAAGAAUAAGCACCGGCUAACUUCGUG
rnacentral:rRNA from 1 species